UUAAUUGAAACCAAAAAAGAGGUUUUUUAUUGUUAAUAAAAUUAUUGAGAAUAUUCUCCAAUUAAA
rnacentral:tRNA from 1 species